rnacentral:rRNA from 1 species
AACGAGCGCUGGCGGCAGGCUUAACACAUGCAAGUCGAACGCCCCGCAAGGGGAGUGGCAGACGGGUGAGUAACGCGUGGGAACAUACCCUUUCCUGCGGAAUAGCUCUGGGAAACUGGAAUUAAUACCGCAUACGCCCUACGGGGGAAAGAUUUAUCGGGGAAGGAUUGGCCCGCGUUGGAUUAGCUAGUUGGUGGGGUAAAGGCCUACCAAGGCGACGAUCCAUAGCUGGUCUGAGAGGAUGAUCAGCCACAUUGGGACUGAGACACGGCCCAAACUCCUACGGGAGGCAGCAGUGGGGAAUAUUUGACAAUGGGCGCAAGCCUGAUCCAGCCAUGCCGCGUGAGUGAUGAAGGCCUUAGGGUUGUAAAGCUCUUUCACCGAUGAAGAUAAUGACGGUAGUCGGAGAAGAAGCCCCGGCUAACUUCGUGCCAGCAGCCGCUGUAAGAC